GAUGAACGCUGGCGGCGUGCCUAAUACAUGCAAGUCGAGCGAACAGAUAAGGAGCUUGCUCCUUUGACGUUAGCGGCGGACGGGUGAGUAACACGUGGGUAACCUACCUAUAAGACUGGAAUAACUCCGGGAAACCGGGGCUAAUGCAGGAUAACAUGUUGAACCGCAUGGUUCUACAGUGAAAGGCGGCUUUGCUGUCACUUAUAGAUGGACCCGCGCCGUAUUAGCUAGUUGGUGAGGUAACGGCUCACCAAGGCAACGAUACGUAGCCGACCUGAGAGGGGGAUCGGCCACACUGGAACUGAGACACGGUCCAGACUCCUACGGGAGGCAGCAGUAGGGAAUCUUCCGCAAUGGGCGAAAGCCUGACGGAGCAACGCCGCGUGAGUGAUGAAGGUCUUCGGAUCGUAAAACUCUGUUAUUAGGGAAGAACAAAUGCGUAAGUAACUGUGCGCGUCUUGACGGUACCUAAUCAGAAAGCCACGGCUAACUACGUG
rnacentral:rRNA from 1 species